rnacentral:rRNA from 1 species
UGUCAGGAGUUAGGAAAUGUAGGAAUGUUAAUAGCAUUUCUAUUUGACUAAGGCUCCAGAGGAAGCCACGGCUAACUCUGUGCCAGCGGCCGCGGUAAUACAGAGGUGGCAAGCGUUGUUCGGAAUUAUUGGGCGUAAAGAGCACGUAGGCGGCCCUGCCAGUCAGCUGUGAAAGCCUUCCGCUCAACGGAAGAACGGCAGCUGAUACUACAGGGCUAGAGUACGGGAGGGGAGAGUGGAACUUCUGGU